UACGUAGGGUGCGAGCGUUGUCCGGAAUUACUGGGCGUAAAGAGCUCGUAGGUGGUUUGCCGCGUUGUUCGUGAAAACUCACAGCUUAACUGUGGGCGUGCGGGCGAUACGGGCAGACUGGAGUACUGCAGGGGGAGACUGGAAUUCCUGGUGUAGCGGUGGAAUGCGCAGAUAUCAGGAGGAACACCGGUGGCGAAGGCGGGUCUCUGGGCCGGAACUGACGCUAAGGAGCGAAAGCGUGGGGAGCGAACAGG
rnacentral:rRNA from 1 species